CCUACGGGGCAGCAGCAGUGGGGAAUAUUGCACAUUGGGGGAAACCCUGAUGCAGCGACGCCGCGUGAGCGAUGAAGUAUUUCGGUAUGUAAAGCUCUAUCAGCAGGGAAGAAAAUGACGGUACCUGACUACGAAGCCCCGGCUAACUACGGGCCAGCAGCCGCGGUAAUACGUAGGGGGCAAGCGUUAUCCGGAUUUACUGGGUGUAAAGGGAGCUUAGACGGUCCUGCAAGCCAGAUGUGAAAGCCCGGGUAUCAACCCCGGGACUGCAGUUGGAACUGUAAGGCUAGAGUGUCGGAGAGGCAGGCGGAAGUCCUAGUGUAGCGGUGAAAUGCGUAGAUAUUAGGAGGAACACCAGUGGCGAAGGCGGCCUGCUGGACGAUGACUGACGUUGAGGCUCGAAAGCGUGGGGAGCAAACAGGAUUAGAUACCCGGGUAGUC
rnacentral:rRNA from 1 species